rnacentral:rRNA from 1 species
CAGCAGCCGCGGUAAUACGAAGGGUGCAAGCGUUAAUCGGAAUUACUGGGCGUAAAGCGUGCGUAGGCGGUUUGUUAAGUCUGUUGUGAAAUCCCCGGGCUCAACCUGGGAAUGGCAAUGGAUACUGGCAAGCUAGAGUGUGUCAGAGGAUGGUGAAAUUCCCGGUGUAGCGGUGAAAUGCGUAGAGAUCGGGAGGAACAUCAGUGGCGAAGGCGGCCAUCUGGGACAACACUGACGCUGAGGCACGAAAGCGUGGGGAGCAAACAGGAUUAGAUACCCCAGUAGUCCCUGUCUCUUAUAC